GACGAACGCUGGCGGCGUGCUUAACACAUGCAAGUCGAACGGAAAGGCCCUGCUUUUGUGGGGUGCUCGAGUGGCGAACGGGUGUGUAACACGUGAGUAACCUGCCCUUGACUUUGGGAUAACUUCAGGAAACUGGGGCUAAUACCGGAUAGGAGCUCCUGCUGCAUGGUGGGGGUUGGAAAGUUUCGGCGGUAGGGGAUGGACUCGCGGCUUAUCAGCUUGUUGGUGGGGGAGUGGCUUACCAAGGCUUUGACUGGUAGCCGGCCUGGGAGGGUGACCGGCCACCUUGGGACUGCGGUACGGCCCAGUCUCCUACGGGAGGCAGCAGUGGAGAAUAUUGCACAAUGGGCGGAAGCCUGAUGCAGCAACGCCGCGUGCGGGAUGACGGCCUUCGGGUUGUAAACCGCUUUCGCCUGUGACGAAGCGUGAGUGACGGUAAUGGGUAAAGAAGCACCGGCUAACUACGUG
rnacentral:rRNA from 1 species